CGCGUGACUCCUACGGGGAGGCAGCAGUAGGGAAUCUUCCACAAUGGGCGCAAGCCUGAUGGAGCAACACCGCGUGAGUGAAGAAGGGUUUCGGCUCGUAAAGCUCUGUUGUUAAAGAAGAACACGUAUGAGAGUAACUGUUCAUACGUUGACGGUAUUUAACCAGAAAGUCACGGCUAACUACGUGCCAGCAGCCGCGGUAAUACGUAGGUGGCAAGCGUUAUCCGGAUUUAUUGGGCGUAAAGAGAGUGCAGGCGGUUUUCUAAGUCUGAUGUGAAAGCCUUCGGCUUAACCGGAGAAGUGCAUCGGAAACUGGAUAACUUGAGUGCAGAAGAGGGUAGUGGAACUCCAUGUGGAGCGGUGGAAUGCGUAGAUAUAUGGAAGAACACCAGUGGCGAAGGCGGCUACCUGGUCUGCAACUGACGCUGAGACUCGAAAGCAUGGGUAGCGAACAGGAUUAGAUACCCUGGUAG
rnacentral:rRNA from 1 species